GACGAACGCUGGCGGCGUGCCUAAUACAUGCAAGUAGAACGCUGAAGGAGGAGCUUGCUUCUCUGGAUGAGUUGCGAACGGGUGAGUAACGCGUAGGUAACCUGCCUGGUAGCGGGGGAUAACUAUUGGAAACGAUAGCUAAUACCGCAUAAGAGUAGAUGUCGCAUGACAUUUGCUUAAAAGGUGCAAUUGCAUCACUACCAGAUGGACCUGCGUUGUAUUAGCUAGUUGGUGAGGUAACGGCUCACCAAGGCAACAAUACAUAGCCGACCUGAGAGGGUGAUCGGCCACACUGGGACUGAGACACGGCCCAGACUCCUACGGGAGGCAGCAGUAGGGAAUCUUCGGCAAUGGACGGAAGUCUGACCGAGCAACGCCGCGUGAGUGAAGAAGGUUUUCGGAUCGUAAAGCUCUGUUGUAAGAGAAGAACGAGUGUGAGAGUGGAAAGUUCACACUGUGACGGUAUCUUACCAGAAAGGGACGGCUAACUACGUG
rnacentral:rRNA from 1 species